UCGACUUCUACGGCGGCAGCGGCGCCGCGGUCACCACCACCACUGCCACUGCCACUGCCACCAAGAACAAGAAGAAGGCCAGGAUGAGCUAAGAUUGUUAGCAUGUCUCUUCAAUGUAAAUGGGACACCUUUGUGUUUGCUUCUGCAAGAGUCAAAAAGGUUUUCCACAACAGCAAGUCUCUAUCUCUGUGUUUGGUCUUAAUACUGUGAUGCAGGAUUCAUGAAACGAGCACUUCUCUUCAUAUUAGUGCUCGGAUUAGAUUUGUAGAAAUAGCUGAAAGGAGAAAUGAUGCAUUCAAGAAAUCCUUACAAUAAUAUAAUUCAUGGAUGCAAUGAAAAAAGACAUAUUUCUGAAGCUAUAUAAAGAGAGAUUUAUGUAUAACACAGAUUGUUGUGUAAAAUGAGAUGCAGUCUGGAAGAUUAGGGACACUGAAAACUUAAUGGAAAUCAAUCAAAAAAGAGAAUUUAAUGUGCUAGCAAUGGACAGACAGAGUUGAGAAUAUUAUUUGUGUAGAUAAGAUAAUAAAUACAAUCCAUUUGCACCCCUCACCUUUCUCUCUUCUUCUUCUUACACUCCACUUUGGAUAUAUACAAAGCAACAUUAUUGAUUGCAUGUUGUUGGUGUUCCACAGUUGAACAACAGCUCAGCUUUUCUUCCUUCUUCACCUCUCUGUAUAAAUCCAAAAAAACAAUCUAGUUUUGACUUUUGAGUGCAAAAUAACCCACAGCCAUGGAUAUCCUUCCUUUCAGGCAGUGCCUAAUUUUUCUUUUUGCUAUCCUCCCCACAAGUAGUCUUUAAAAUUUUCUUUUCUAUUUUUGUCAUUGUAAACUACAAAUAGAAUAACAGAAAACACAAGGAAGAUACAUUUUCACCAUCUAUAUACUCUCAGAUUUUCUUGACAAUUUUCCCUAAAUAAAUCCUCUUUUGAUCCAAAGGGCAUCUUUGUCACCCACCAACCCAUAUUUCUGCAAACUGCCCCACUUACCAAGACUUUGGUUGGACCAUAAGUAGAUACUUUUGACAUAACAAAACAAGUGAUGCAGAUCAAAGAGUUCUAGUCAAAGAACAUAAGUGGUAUAUACAGGAUAUUUUUCAAGGAAGAACAUGAGCAAAAUUAUAGCACAGCUGUCGAAUGUAACAUACACAAUGUAGUUUUCAGAGAAGACAAGAGACAAGUGAAGUCACAACCACCUUUGAAUAUUUGUUAUAUAGGCAUUCAUUUCACUGGAAAAUAUAGCACCACAUCAAGAUAGGAAAAGAAAAGGAACUUCUAUGUGCACCACAAAUCAACAUAAGAUUAGCUGAUAAACCAAGAGAGAGCCACAUAGCCAACCAUGCAGAUGACUACACACACCAACUAAGAAGUCCCUUGUAGGAAACGUAUCUGUUUUAUCUGGCUAGUGAUGUGUUAGUUGAAAGAGAGAAAUCAGAGACUUCAACUCUCCCCCUAAGAAUGCAUGUCCCUAACCAGCAGUUGUACAAACUACAAAGUGCCAUGUCGCCAAUAACUUGCAAUUUUGAUUUCAUCCUUCUAUAUAGUGAAGGUCAAACUCCUGAUUUCAUCCACAGGAAUUUGAUAUGGAUGAUGCCAGAGGCACCACAUGAAUCGCACACACAUCAGCAUAAGCACAUCAAUGCAUCACAUUAUGCCAAAUAAUUGAAAGAAGAGGUACCAAUUCAUUAUUCAUCCAUUUGGAGCAUUUAAAGUUUGAGGUCAGUGCAAAAAUAACAGAAAUGAAAACCAAUGGUAACAUAGAUGUAAAUUAUAGAAAAAGUUCUCUUUGGUCAUAACAUUAAAUCCAAGUUGCCAGGAUGACAAAUUAAUGGUUGAUGUGACAUGACAGUGGAGAAUCACAGCAAAAAAACAAAAAAGAAGCAUGAAAGCAGGCUUAGUAACAGGUACAAGAGUUGAUACCAGAGACAUUAAAACAGAUAAAGAAAUUCGUAAUAACUCAUCAUAUCAAAAAGCUUCUGAUCAUUUAAUUUCACUUGUCCUUCUCUCAAAAUGAAUUUAUUCUACUUCCCUAAUCAAGAAACACCUGAACUUUUAUAUAUAUAACAGAACAGAUGUAUAUCUAACAAGUGCAUAUAUUUGAGAAAUGAUAUUGCAUCUAUAAAUCCUUUUCCUCUUCAUUCAGAUCGAGAAUUUUAAUACUUUCAAGAGUGACCAAGGAAAGUUGGUUCAAUCUCUCUUAAGAGUCAUUCUCAAUUGAUCCCGUCACUUAUGAAGAAUGCUCAUGCUUCUUCCCUGAAAAUAGGCAUGUUUACUAUGGAUUGUCCUAUUUAAUAUUAUCCAUCUAGAAGGGGUUAGGCAAAUUCACCAUUUACCUUGGCAACACACUCAAAUUAGGACAAGGAACUAACUGGUCAUAGGAGGCACAAGCGCAACUGGACUAUGAGCUAGUUUCAUGCAGUUAGGGAGAAAAGAAAAAAGGACUAGAUCAUCAAGAUUUAAAUAUAUAUCUGGUUCAGGCUGCUCAAAAUCUUACGAAAGGAAACAAAAUGGAUGGAAAAUCUGCCUUGCAAAAACUGCAGUUCACAAGUCUUAUAGGCAAUGUCAUCCAAAUGGCUGCCACGCUGAUCUCCAAAAUAUGAAGUUUCAAAAAGGCUUCUCAUCCGGUAUAGGAACUUACAUUCUUAAUUGAAUUAGAUCACAAUAUAUUCUUUUACCUGAUAAUAGAUGAGGAUUGCAGACUCGAUGAAAUUUGAUCUACAGGCAUCACAAAUCUCCUCGUUCUGUUUCUCUUCACCAAUGGUUCCCUUUCUCAACCGCCUAUAGGAGAUGGCUGCCCACUGGAAAAUAUCAUCAAAGCAGUAUCUACUAUUAAGCGUGUUUGGCCCUCCUAGAGUUCUUCCAGCUCAAAAAAUCUCAAAGCCAAGAACUUUAGCUGAUUACUUUUAAGAACUGAUUGCCUUCCCUUUGUAGCUGCCAGUUGAACUACAAACGGAGGGUUCCAUGCUGGUCAUUAUUCCUUCUUGAGUGCUAUUUUUGCAGCAACAUAUUCCAGCUUAUUUUGUGGGUCAAUGAUCCAGCACCUAUACUUGCAUUUGGCCUUACUUUUCCAAUUAAACUUGUUACUUCUCCCUGUGGGUUCCUGCUCUAGGAAGAUAAAUGCUAUUGCAAGCUCACAAUUAUAGGAUAUUUCCUGGGUUUUUCUAGAGGUUCCUGUCAGAACCAUCAUUAUAGUUCUCUCCGCACAUGAAAACCCCACUUUCCCUGGAUCCAUACAAGCUAUCAUCUAGAUGUUCUGAUUCCAAUUCCCCUUCCAACAUAACGAUGAUAAGAUUCAGGAUGGUCAAAUUCAUUCCAUCCUUUAUUCUAUAAUCAUACAUCAGCUUGAUCAACAGUCAAGACCAUUUACAUCACACUCAUUUAACAGUCAAGCAUAAAAAAGACACACAGGUGGCCUCUGUCCAUGAACAUCUUUUCCUUUUGAACACAUGAUUCCUAAUACAACUCCUCUUCCAUUUCUACGCAUUAUCUUCCUCAACUUCAGCGAU
rnacentral:lncRNA from 1 species